GCCCAUGUAGCUCAGGGGUAGAGCGCCUCCUUGGUAAGGAGGAGGUCAGGGGUUCAAGUCCCCUCAUGGGCU
rnacentral:tRNA from 1 species